rfam:Stegodyphus mimosarum contig32751, whole genome shotgun sequence.
GCCAUCGUGGUGUAGUGGUCAGCACGCUCACGCGUAACCGAGAGGUCCGUGGUUCGAUUCCCGGCGAAGGCU